AGUCCAGAAGCUGCUGGUGUCUUCUCCAUGAGUCCGGACCAAACCAAAUCCGUCCCAAACGACGAACGCAAUCCAGUGGCCUCGAGUCUUCAGGAGAAGACGAGAGAAUUCUCCAGAAGCUUGUUUUCUCCUUUUUCUCCAUACAAUCCCCAGCCCUCUAUAAAUUCUCCCGUUCCGACCGACAGAAACCCAAGAAAGUCUGAACAAAAGCACCGAUCAAAGAACGAUCCCUCCCAAAUCAAUCGCUCACCCUUCCGCUUCCUAACACCAGCUAAAUCGUCGAUUCCUUCGACCAGCAGCUCGAAUCCCCACCGACAAUGUCGCUGAUCCGUCGCACCAACGUGUUGGACCCCUUCUCCCUCGACCUCUGGGACCCCUUCGACGGCUUCCCCUUCGGCUCCGGCGGCAGCGGCAGCCUCGUCCCGCGCACCUCCUCUGACACGGCGGCCUUCGCCAGCGCGCGGAUUGACUGGAAGGAGACGCCCGAGGCGCACGUGUUCAAGGCGGACGUGCCGGGGCUGAAGAAGGAGGAGGUGAAGGUGGAGGUGGAGGACGGCAACAUCCUCCAGAUAGCGGCGAGCGGAACAAGGAGCAGGAGGAGAAGACGGACACCUGGCACCGCGUGGAGCGCAGCAGCGGCAAGUUCCUGCGCAGGUUCCGGCUCCCGGAGAACGCCAAGGCGGAGCAGGUGAAGGCGUCCAUGGAGAACAGCGUGCUCACCGUCACCGUGCCCAAGGAGGAGGCCAAGAAGCCCGAGGUCAAGUCCAUCCAGAUCUCCGGCGCGAUGAGAUGGACUGCAGUCUGCAGAGCAGUGGUGUGGAGUUUCGCCCGGUCGUCGCGAUGAAAUAAAAUCAGUCAGGCUGUCUAGUGCUCUAAUCUUGUGUGCGAAUGGUCCGAUGUUGCAGUCAGUGUUUCGAGUCUGUCGCGUCUGUGUUCGAGUCCACCUUGUUCAUCAGCAACAAAGUAAAUCCAUUACCUUC